AGAGAGAGACAUGCGCGCAUAUCAAUAAGCGGAGGAAAAGAAACUAACAAGGAUUCCCCUAGUAACGGCGAGUGAAGCGGGAAGAGCUCAAAUUUGAAAUCUUCAAGGUUUUACCUUGACGAAUUGUAGUUUAAAGAAGUGUUUUCUGCUGAAGUUUUGGUAAAAGUUCUUUGGAAUAGGACAUCAUAGAGGGUGAGAAUCCCGUAUUUGACCAUUGUUUUCAGCUUUGUGAUACACUUUCAAAGAGUCGGAUUGUUUGGGGAUGCAGUCCAAAAUGGGUGGUAAAUUUCAUCUAAAGCUAAAUAUUGGCGAGAGACCGAUAGCGAACAAGUACCGUGAGGGAAAGAUGAAAAGAACUUUGAAAAGAGAGUUAAACAGUACGUGAAAUUGUCAAAAGGGAAGCGUUUGACACCAGUGUUGUUUUCUCGAAAAUCAAUUAAAAAUGGCUCGAUUUUGUAUUGCUUGAGACCUUAAAAGCUCACUGUACAUUUUUCGUGUCUUUUUUAAUGCACUUUUCGUUUAACAAGUCAACAUCAGUUUCUUUUGUUGUAAAAGGGUCAUUGGAAGGUGGCUUUCUUUUCGGAGAAAGUGUUUAUAGCCUUUGGCCUCUGCAAUCGGAGAGACUGAGGUCUGCAGCGUAGACUCUUCGGGGUUAGAUACAUUUGUGCUAAGUUAUAGCUUUUUAUAGACAACUUGUUGACUAUAAUUAGUCUUGUAGCUUACUCGCUUAUGCUAUUUUACCUACGCUUAGGAUGUUGAGUCGUAGAGCACGCAG
rnacentral:rRNA from 1 species